GCCAGGCAUGGUGGCGCAUGCCUGUAGUCCCAGCUACUUGGGAGGCUGAGGUGGGAGGAUGGCUUGAGCCUGGGAGUUCCAGGCUGCAGAUUGGGCCACUGCAUUCCAGCCUGGGUUACAGGGCGAGAUCUUGUCUCUA
rfam:Gorilla gorilla gorilla genomic chromosome, chr9, whole genome shotgun sequence